AACAAACGCUGGCGGCGUGCCUAAUACAUGCAAGUCGAACGGGGAAAGCUUUCGGGUGAGUACUAGUGGCGCACGGGUGAGUAACGCGUGGAUAAUCUGCCCUCGAAUGGGGAAUAACUAGUCGAAAGAUUAGCUAAUACCGCAUAAGACCAAGACUAAUGAGGUAGUUGGGGUCAAAGGCGCCAUUCGUUUGAGUAUGAGUCCGCGUAAGAUUAGCUAGUUGGUGAGGUAAUGGCUCACCAAGGCGAUGAUCUUUAACUGGUCUGGAAGGAUGAUCUGUCACACUGGAACUGAGACACGGUCCAGACUCCUACGGGAGGCAGCAGUAGGGAAUAUUGGACAAUGGGGGCAACCCUGAUCCAGCGACGCCGCGUGAGCGAUGAAGGCCUUCGGGUCGUAAAGCUCUGUUGUAAGGGAAAAAGUUCUGAUUGUACCUUACGAGAAAGGAUCGGCUAACUUCGUGCCAGCAGCCGCCGCCG
rnacentral:rRNA from 1 species